CGCUGUCUGCGUUAAACCAGCCAGGAGGCAGGCUCAGGAGAAGUGGAAGCCACGGCUUGAGCCCAGGUGGCCUGGCUGCAGAAUCCAACCUGCCGCCCGCUCUGCCCACAGCCCUUCUGCGGCAGCGCCUCUUGGGCCCUCUCCAGCCGCCGCUGGUGAUCUGGAACACCUUACGGAAUGAAGAAGUCUGCAGCAAAGCACCACGGCCGCCCUGCAGGGCCUGCGGGGACACUCUUGGCCCUCCUUGCGUGGACAAGGGCCCCUGCUCUUUGAGCAGUCUACGCAGUAGCAAAGGCGGGGGUCUGAGGCAUGGGUCUCCCGGCCUCCAGCCGUGAGUGCUUAGGAAAUAGUGUCACAUCUCUGAGCCCUGCUAUGGUCAGCCGAGAAGCAGGGGCCGACUCCUGACUACAGGCCUGUCACAGGAGCUGAGCAGCCCUGAAUGUGAAAGCAAUGAAAUUGGAGCCAGGGCCCACACACUGAGUCACAUCUCCAGCUCAUAUAUAUAUUUACCAAGGUUGGACUAAAACUUGUGAUUCUCCUGCCUCAGCCUUCCAGAGCACUGGGGUUACAGGACCACGCUCUGAACCCAAGGACCCUCUACCAUUGAAAUACAUCCCCAGCCUUUUCAGUCCUUUUAAAAAAUUUAUUUAUUUACUCAUUUAUUUUGACAGGCCUUGCUAAGUUACCUAGGUUAGCUUUGAACUUUUGGUCCUCCUGUCUCAGCCUCCAGAGUAGCUGAUAUUGCCAGUGUGCCGUGUGCGCCACCACACCCAGCAGCUGAACAGCUUUGCUCUGCCAUGUGCACUCCAUGCAGUGCUGCCUCAUCACGGGCCCAAAACAACGAAGCUGCCAACCAUGAACUGCACCCUUGCAAACUGUGAGCCAAAGUGAAACUUUCCCCUUUGUAAGUUAACUAUCUCAGGUAUUUUGAAACAGGAAUGGAAUGCUAACAACGCAAGGAUCCACCUCUCUCCCACUCCAUAGCCUUGACAGCUACCAUCACCUCGCUCUGUCUUCCAAGCAGAGCUGUGUCCCUCUCCUUCCUGUCAUCCCCUAGGCCUGCCUCACCACUGCUUUCUGUUUCAAGUCAACUCAUUCCUCCUCCAGGAAACUUUCCAAGGUAGCACCCAUCCUGUAUUGCAGUGACCCUGCCACUCUGUGAACUCUGGCUUCAUAAGAUUUGUUUCUGUGCUCCCAAAGGGAAUUUUUUAAAACUAUGUAAUGCUUUGCACAUUUUUCAAGUUGACUGCUAAGAUUUUUCAUCAGUUUUAAAUCAUUACAAGGAGUAUAAUUUCUUUUUUUUUUUUCCUUUUUUUUGGUCCCGGGGAUCAAACUAGGGACUUGCACUUGCAAGGCAGGCAGGAGAACCACCAAGCUAAAUCCACAGCCCCAAAGAGUAUAAUUUCUAAAGUGUUUUAGAUACUGCAACAUUUUGAAAUGAAACUAUUAAAGCAGAGCUGGGGAUUUAGCUCAGUGGCACUGUGCUUGCCUGGCAAGCACAAGGUCCUCAGUUCGAUCCCCUAUACAAAAAAAUUAAUGAAUAAAUAAAAUAAAUAAAUAAAACUAUUAAGGCACUGUUUUAAAUGUGUGUUUGAUGAAAUCUAAAUGUGUAUUUAAAAUACACAAACCUAUGAGAGACAGAAAAUCAAUAAGAAAACAGAGAAGUUGAACCACGCUGUAGACCAAUUGGAUCUGACAGACAUUGUAUCAGUCAGCUUUUUCUGACUAUGAUGAAAUACCUGCCAGCAGCUAAUUUUAUAAAGAGGAAAGGUUCACUUAGCUCACAUUUUGGAGAUCCAAAGUUUAA
rnacentral:lncRNA from 1 species